AAAUUGUUUAAGCUGAUUUACAUUGCUCUUUAUAAAAGUUCUAAGUUUUAUGUUUAAGAUUAAACAUGUUUACUUAAAAUUAUCAAUUUGAAAAAAACCUAGAAUAAGUGUUUCGGUGCUUCUAUAUUGAUCAGAAAAACGUAUACCCGGCGUGUUGUUUGGAGGAUCAAAUCUUGUUUAGAUUUGGUGCUGUUCUGAAUGCUAGGGUGUCACAGGAUCGUCAAGCCUAUUUAACGAGCACGAGGUCGCCACAUUUUACAGAUUACAAUGUCUGUUUGUUUGACCUGUGGCAAGGCAAUUGAUUACGAUGAUCAGCCCCUCACAGUUAGCGAGAAUAAAAAAGUGCAGAAUGCAUUAUGCAAGCAUUUCUGGUUCGGCGAGCAUCAAUACCUUCAGAGCGUCAUCUGCCGUUCAUGUUGGCUCAAAAUUGAAGAAUUCCAUCUAUUCUAUUGUGAAGUGGAGGAACUGCACGCCCAUCAGUUGUACCCGCACAUACAACUGUUGGAGAUCAAACAGGAAAUUGGCACCACCGCUGAAGAAUUUAUGGAAGCAGAAGGCGAUGUAGAUAGCGGUGAAUUAUAUGCGAUCAAAGGUGAGAAACCCAGUUACGAAGGUGCCGAAAACGACGAAAAGGUGUGCAUUGAAGCAGAUGGUAUCGAAAAAAUUAGAAAAAGUCUCCGACCGUUGAAAGUUAAGGAUCCUAUUGACGACGAUGACGUCAAAUCUGAAAUUGAGGACGAAGAUUCAAACGCAGGCGACGAAGAUUACAAGCAUUCCGAUUCAGAAUAUACGAAUUCAGAUGGAAGUAAUACUGCUGAAGAAGCCGAAGGAUGUUCGAAACGCACAAAAAAACAUCCUAAGGCAACAAAAGAAGAAAAGCUGGCAAUCCAAAAAUAUAUUUCAGAACAUAUUUUACUUGAAUGUGAUACCUGUGCGGUGCGAUAUACCACCAUCAAGGAGCUGCAUGAACAUUCAAUGGAAGACCACAAUAAGCCAGCAACUGUAUUGUGUUGUAACCGUAGCAUCUCGAACCGUUUCCGAUUUGAGGAACACAUACGAUACCAUUUGAAUCCGGAUCGGUUCAAAUGCUCACAAUGCUCGAGAGCCUGUCCCAAUCGGGACGCACUCCGCAAACACAUACAACAGGUGCACACGACAGAGGAUGCAAAACUAUAUAAUUGUCAAAAGUGUACUAGAAAAUUUUCUACGAAAAAGGGAUUAGCCCGACAUGAGAAGAUCCACGACGAAUCCGACAACGAAGGAACUGGUACGAAGCGCCGAUCACGAGCUGUGGACAAUGAAAAGAUGAUCGCAGAAAACAUAAACCUUGAGUGCGAUUCGUGCCAAAAGAAAUUCGAGUCAUUUGGAAGUUUGCAAAAGCACUCAUCUAAGGAGCAUUCAAAGCUCGCGUAUGUUUUUUGCUGUGAUUUGAGAUUCAAUAAGAAGCCACGACUCAUCGAUCAUGUUCUUUUCCACUUGGAGCCAACCAGCUUUCAGUGCAAAAUUUGCCACAAAAAUUUACCCCAUACUGAAUCCCUUAGGCGCCACAUGGAUAGUAAUCACGCACCGGCAGAAUUGAAAACGCUCAAAUGCAGCAUGUGCCCUAAGAUGUUUACGCAUCUGAAGUUCCUUAAGACCCACGAACGCUAUCACAACCGCAGGUGGUUGUGCGAAAUUUGCAACAAGAAAUUCAUCUGCGAAGCUAACUUGAAGUAUCACCACAAGACGAUCCAUACCAAGGAGCUGAACUAUGUGUGUCAUGUCUGUGCCAGAACGUUCAACAUCUACUCCUCGUAUCGGUCGCAUCUUGAAACGCACGAUGUAUCCCCGAAGAAGAAACCGCAAAAACCGCCAGUGCAGUGCCCGGUUUGCAACGCCUGGACCGGAAAACUGUCCCACCAUAUGCGACUGCACUCGGGAACGCAAACGUGUGAAAUUUGCGGCAAGGAAUGUAAAAACGCGAUCUCCUAUCGGUACCACAUGAAGAACCACGAGAUGGGAGACUUUGUAUGCUCGGUUUGUGGCAAGGGUUUCAAGAGGGAAAUCACAUUGAAGGAACAUAUGGCAUCGCACACUGGGGUCAGCCUGUACAGUUGUGACUUCUGCGAUCGAACGUUCAACUCGAAUGCCAACAAAGCUUCGCAUCGCAAGAAGAUGCAUCCGCAGCAGUGGCUCGAGGACAAGUUGAGGAAAAAGGCGGCCAAGCUGGCAGAGUCUGCUGUAGUGCUCCAGUCGUAGAAUAUUUUAACGAUAAGUAAUCAAUGGUUGGAAUAUUUAAAUAACAUGGUACCUGGUAAGUAUUUUAUUUUGUGACCUACGUUAUGAGGAAUUCAUUGCACAGAAGUAGAGCGACAGUCGCUCGGAUCAUAAAACAUAGUCAAACCCCGCUCCAGACUGAAUGUUGGUAAUAUUCAGGCUUCGAGUUUUAACAUGUGAGUUAUAGAAUACCUAUUUGAUAUGAAACAAGUUGUGGAGCUGUUUUCAUUUCCUACGAGUUCCUACACAGGCCAUAAAAAAAAGUGAACGGAAACGAAGCGAACGCUUCGCGAAGGAUACAAAAUUCGGAUCUAAGUUUCAAGAAUGCUAUCAGGAAUCAAGAAAAGGCAAAGACAACAAAAGCAUAAGGAUUACUGCUACUGGACACGCCCAUCCUCAUCGUAAGGAGGGAGAGGAUGGAAGCAAGAUGCCAGUGACUGCGACACUCUCAUAAGCACCACGGAGUUAAGGAUGGUAUUCGUUGGAUCUGUCAGGAGCUUGCGAUGUGGCCAUGGUACCUCAUAUCAAGUAGCAUACUACAAGAAGGGUAUAUACGUCACGUGAACGGGUAGUAAGUGACAAGUUGAGUCACAA